rnacentral:sRNA from 1 species
GUAAAUAAUUGUUAGGUGAGGCUCCUAUAUGGACACAGGCUGCUGCCGCGAAAGAAUCGAGAGACUCUUAGUUUGGUAGAACAGGAUUGAUCGUGAAGGUCAAUCACAACGCAGCUGACUAGUUUUCGCUAGUCUACGCCCUAUAGUGCUAAAGCUCUACGAUGACCAACGUAG